rnacentral:rRNA from 1 species
AACGAACGCUGGCGGCAUGCCUAAUACAUGCAAGUCGAACGAAGGCUUCGGCCUUAGUGGCGCACGGGUGCGUAACGCGUGGGAAUCUACCCUUGGGUUCGGAAUAACAGUUAGAAAUGACUGCUAAUACCGGAUGAUGACGUAAGUCCAAAGAUUUAUCGCCCAAGGAUGAGCUCGCGUAAGAUUAGCUAGUUGGUGAGGUAAAGGCUCACCAAGGCUACGAUCUUUAGCUGGUCUGAGAGGAUGAUCAGCCACACUGGGACUGAGACACGGCCCAGACUCCUACGGGAGGCAGCAGUAGGGAAUAUUGGACAAUGGGCGAAAGCCUGAUCCAGCAAUGCCGCGUGAGUGAUGAAGGCCUUAGGGUUGUAAAGCUCUUUUACCCGAGAUGAUAAUGACAGUAUCGGGAGAAUAAGCUCCGGCUAACUCCGUG